rnacentral:lncRNA from 1 species
GCUCGGUCCACUCCGCCUCUCUCUCUCUCUCUUCCUCCUCCGCGCGCCGCCUUACCCCUCUCCUCCUUCCUCGACGCGGCGGCUGCUCCAGAUCUUCUCUUCCCCGCGCAGCGGCGUCUACCGUCCAAUCCAGUGAACUAUCGGCUCAGUAAAAGGGGAAAAAGGAGGGAUCUUUUCUGGACAUUUGAAGUUUACGGACGACAAGGUAAGAAAGUGCAUAUAAUUCACAUUAUGCGCGUCUUUAGUUAACAACAACUCUGCUACCAAGCUGUUUCUACCAUCCGUGUUCGUGUAAGGAGUUGUACCCUAUACAUGUCUCUGGAAUUCAAAAUUACAUCCAUCUUUAAACUGGCGCCAUAUCCAAUUCUUUUUUUUUUCUUGGAUACAUAUUAACACCAUCUGUGUUGACUGUCUGUAGUCUUUUCUCAUCAUUUUGGAUAAAUAUUACACCAAAGUCUCUUGUUUAUAUAGCUAUAUGAACUCAGAAAGCUGAGAA